rnacentral:lncRNA from 1 species
UAUGGAUUUAGAUUUGGCUUUGCGCGUUGACCAAUCGCCUAAAAUAGUGGGGCCAAUGACUACACAGCAGGAAUCCACGUAGGAAAAAUAGGAGCGAUCCAACCGCUUAAGUUUGAUGCUCAUAAAGUCUAGGGUAUCAAAAAAUAUUAGGGGAUCAAUCUCAGAAUGUGAUAAAACCAAGUAUUACCUAAAGGCCAUUGAGGAGCAGUUUUUCAGCUUCGAUAAAGCUUUGGCGAGCACGCUGAUGAAGCGACUUUCGGGCAUCAAGCACAAUCGAGUCAAGGGUGUGCGCGAGCAUAUAAUGGAGAUGCGGAAUCUAGCAGCUCAACUAAAGACUUUAAAAUUUGAGAUCUCCGACACCUUCUUAGUCCAUCUAAUUUUAAACUCAUUACCUUCCGAGUUUGACCCUUUUAAGAUCUCCUAUAACACACAUUAGAAUGAAUGGUCAAUAAAUGAAUUAUUGACUAUAUGUGUUCAAAAAGAGGAGAGAGACAUAAGCAGGAGAAGCCGAAAAUUAUAAAGAAUCUGUUAAUCUGGCAACUUAGCACAAAAGGAAAAAAAGUAAGGGUGCCUCUAAUUACAAAAAGUUAGCUCAGUUGCCAAUAAAAAAUUCUGGCAAGAAAGAUCAAUGCUANUGAGGAUACUUUUUAUGUUCCUAAAUUUUCUAGAAAUUUAGUUUCUGUUUCUAAAUUGAGAAAUAAAGGUUUCAAAUUUUUAUUUGAAAAUGAAUCUUUUACUAUGUUCUCCGAUAAUGUUAUUGUUGGCAAUGGUUAUUUGGUAGAUGAUUUGUACAAAUUUAAUUUGAGUCAAUUUUUUGAAAAUAAUUUUAAUGUUGAUCAUGACAUUGGUGUUAAAAGGACCAUUAUUAAAGAAAACUCCUCCUAUUUACGGCACAAGCGUUUAGCUCAUAUCUCUUUAGAGAGAAUAAAGAGUUGGUAAAAGAAAAGAUCUUACAAGAUCUCGAAUUUACCGAUUUUGGUACUUGUGUGGAAUGCAUAAAGGGAAAGUAUACUAACACAAAUACCACUAAAGGUGCCAGAAGGAGUUCUGAAAUUCUUGAGAUCAUACAUACAGAUAUCUGUGGACCUUUUCCUACUCCUUGUUUCAAUGGUUAGAGAUAUUUUAUCUCAUCUAUUGAUGACCAUUCAAGAUAUAUGUAUCUCUAUCUCUUAUUUGAAAAAGCUGAGGCUCUUGAUGCUUUUAAAGCUUAUAAGGUUGAGGUAGAGAAACAAUUGGAUAGGAAAAUCAAGAUUGUAAGGUCCGACAGAGGUGGUGAGUAUUAUGGAAGACAUACGGAUAAAGGUCAAAUGACCGGUCUAUUUGCUCAAUUCCUCAAAGGCGAAUGCAUCAUUGCACAGUAUACGAUGCUUGGCACGCCCCAGCAAAAUGGCGUUGCCGAAAGGAGGAAUAGAACACUUAUGGACAUGGUAAGGAGCAUGAUUAGUAGCUCUUGUCUUCCAUCCUCUCUUUGGAGUGAAGCACUAAAGACAGCGGUGUAUGUUCUAAAUAGGAUUCCAUCGAAGGCUAUUUCCAAAACUCCUUUCGAGUUAUGGAAAGGAUGAAAACCUAGUUUAAAUCACCUGCAUGUAUAGGGAUGUCCAGCUGAGGUAAGGGUUUAUAAUCCACACAUAAAGAAAUUGGACCCUCGAACAGUCAGUGGAUAUUUCAUUGGCUAUGCGGUAAACUCCAAAGGAUUCAGGUUCUAUUGUCCAAAUCACCCAUCCAAGAUAGUUGAGGCCAGGAAUACGAAAUUUCUUGAGGAUUCUGAAGCUAGUGGGAGUGUUGUUUCUCAAAAGAUGGAUUUUGAGGAAAUAAGGAAUUCAACUGGAUAUCCAUCAAUAGAUAAUAAUUUAGUUGCUAUUCCAGGAGGUCAAUUUGACCGUAAUGAAGAUCAACUAAUUUUAGAGCAUGAAAAUGCUGAACCAGUUGAACCUCCCCAUGAAGAUUUGUCCCAAGAGGAACAGAUAAUUAUAGAGCCAGCUGCACAGAAUAAUGAAAAUCUGCAGGAAGAGGUUGGCUUAAGAAGAUCCUCAAGACAAAGGAGACCGGCGAUUCCUGAUGAUUAUGUAGUCUAUAUUCAGGAAUCUGACUUUGAUGUUGGACACCAUAAAGACCCAUGGACGUUUUCAGAAGCCAUGCAGGGAGAUAAAUCCUCACUAUGGUAUGAUGCCAUGAAAAAAAAGAUGAAAUCUAUGACGGAUAACAAAAUUUGGGAUCUCGUUGAGUUAUCACAAGGAGUCAAAGUCAUUGGCUGUAAAUAGGUCUUCAAGACCAAAAGGGACUCUUUAGGUGACAUAGAACAACAUAAAGCCAGACUUGUUGCCAAAGGCUUCACUCAGAAAGAAUGCAUUGAUUAUCAUGAAACCUUCUUUCCGGUAUCAAAGAAAGAUUCAUUAAAAAUUAUCAUGGCUUUGGUAGCUCAUUUCGAUUUAGAGUUACAUCAAAUGGAUGUGAAAACGGCAUUUCUAAAUAGGGAUAUAGAGGAGAUAGUCUAUAUGCAACAGCCCGAAGGUUUUAGCACAGAUGAAAAUAAUCACCUUGUUUGCAGAUUAAAGAAAUCUAUAUACGGACUUAAACAGGCUUCCCGUCAGUGGUAUAUCAAGUUCCAUAAUGUAAUUACUACAUUCGGUUUCGUAGAAAAUAUUGUAGACCAGUGUAUAUAUCUUAAGGUUAGUGGGAGUAAGUAUAUUUUCUUAGUUCUGUAUGUAGAUGAUAUUCUGCUUGCAAGUAGUAAUUUGAGUUUGCUUAAAGAGACUAAAGAUUUUCUUUCUAAGAAUUUUGAGAUAAAGGAUAUGGGUGAAGCCUCUUUUGUCAUUGGCAUAAAGAUUCACAGAAAUAGAUCUCAAAGGAUUUUGGAUCUAUCUCAGAAAGCCUAUAUUGAAAGAGUUCUAGAAAGAUUUAAUAUGGCAAACUGUGCACCUACAGCUGCGCCUAUUAUAGAAGGCGAUAAAUUCAAUCAGAAAGUGUCCUCAGCAUGAUUUAGAACGAGAACAUAUGAAGAGCAUACCCUAUGCCUCUACAGUAGGGAGCUUGAUGUAUGCGCAGGUCUGUACCAGACCUGAUAUAGCUCAUGCAGUGGGGAUGUUGGGUAGAUACCAAAGCAACCCUGGCCUUGAUCAUUGGAAAGCUGUAAAGAAGGUUAUGAGAUAUUUAUAAGGAACAAAGGAUUAUAUGCUCACCUACAGACAUUCUGACCAUCUUGAGGUGGUUGGAUAUUCGGACUCUGAUUUUACUGGAUGCGUGGAUUCUAGAAAGUCCAUAUCAGGAUAUAUUUUCUUACUUGCUCAAGGUGCUAUAUCUUGGAGGAGCACUAAGCAAGAUACAGUUGCUACAUCCACUAUGGAGGUAGAGUUCAUCGCUUGCUAUGAGGCUUUGUCACAGGCUUUAUGGCUGAGAAAUUUUAUCUGAGGUUUAAGAAUUGUUGACUCUAUCUCAAGGCCAAUUAAGAUUUAUUACGACAACUCUGCUGCAGUGUUCUUUGCCAAGAAUAGUCGAGUUACAGAUCGCAGUAAACAUAUCGAUAUAAAAUAUCUUGCGGUGAAAGAAUACAACAAGAAGAAGGUGGAUAUCCAACACAUUGGGACCGAGAGGAUGAUUGUUGAUCCGAUGACUAAAGCAUUGCCGACAAACAAAUUCAAGGAUCAUAUUCAUUAUAUGGGUAUCUUGAGUCCAUUUACAGUUUAAGUGUUUUCUUCUUGUAUAAAGACUUUAAAGACUAUUCUUAUUUGAGUAAGAACAUAUUUUGAUUUUUGCACAUAUGCGCAAAAAGUUAUCUUUUGUACAUUGAAGUUUUAUUGUGCACUAAAGUGGAACUCUUGAGUUGAACUUAUAAUAAGUUCAUACGGUUGUAACUCAUAAAGUUAUUUGAUUAAGGAAUUCGUACUUUUGAUAUAUGGAAGGAAGUGUUCAUCUUUUGGGGCAUAACCGCUAUGAUCAAAGUAUUGCGAUUUCUUGGUCGAGUGGGAGAUUUUGACUGUAUAAUUUAGUUGGUACCUAAUAAAGUUUUUUUUUGUAUCGCCUAUGCGGUAAUGAAUAUGUCACUAGACCAAGUAGGAGAAUGUUGGAUGUGGCCCACGUGAUAUAUUCAAGGCGAUCUAUAAAGAUACGGUCAAUCUAUUAAGUCGAUCUAUAAAGAUAUGGUAGAUCUUACGGUUAGGAUGUAUUUGGACACAUCCUUGAUGGACGGAUGUGAUUUAACAUCCUUACAUUAAGUUAUAUAUAAAUAUGUAACAUACGGGAGUCCCGGUCUAACCCUAAUCCAAUAGUCUGUGACGGUUCCAUCUCCGGGGAUAAGGGAAUUAGACUCGAAACGUCCCAUCUUCUUGCAGAUCACGAACGAGGACGAAUCACGAGCAAGGAUCGCCGCUUACAAAUCAGGUACAGAAAUCGAAAUCAUGGUAGAAGGUACGAUCUUAGUUUCUCAUAAAGUUUCUUACAAUCAUAUCCAAACAUAAGAAACUGAUGAAAAAAAAAAAAUUUGCCGCAUCGAAUAUGUAUUAUGCAACUUGUGUUCAAACGUUUGGAUAGCUACUUCAUAUGCAAAAUUCUCUAUGAACGACAAAUAAAAGAGAAGUUAAAUUUUAAGUGAUAAGAUUUACCUGAUAUGCAGCGAUUGGUAAAGCAUAAUUGGCUUCUUUAAAUUUUAAGUGAUAUAAAAUUUACCUGAUAUGCAGCAAUUGGUAGAGCUGAAUUGUCUCUAAGAAACCGCACAACAUCCAAGUACGGCAAUGCUGGUUUCACCUAUCACAAAGCAUCACUUUACUUGUAAACCAAAAGCUGCAAGAAAAAGGCCCCAAAAUUGAAAAAAGGAGAAAGGCCGCUUAUCUGGCAAGAAAUUCACCAGAAGAAUAUCUGCACCUUCAGCCUCAUCUGCUUCAGUUUCUGUAAGGGCUUCUCUGUAGUUGGCUGGGUUCAUCUGGUAACUUUCAUCAAAAAAUAAAAAAUAAACACUUUGUAUUGGGCAAGUAGAUCACCCAAUGUAAUCAAGCACAUAACAUCAGUAGUAAUGGCCAUACGUUUUCUUAUCCCCAAAUCGUGGAUUUGAGUCUAGAGCUUCUCGGAAGGGGCCAUAGAAUGCACUCGCGUAUCUGCCCAAAAGAGAAUUAAUGUAGGCAGAAUUAGAAAAAUCAUUUAUAAGUAAGAAAUAUACACAGAUUGCAAGAAUUUGAAAAUGACAAAGAGUAUAAGAUACCUACUUUGCAGUAUAAGACAUGAUAGAGACAUCAUGGAAACCUUCAGCAUCAAGAGCCGCACGAAUUGCUCCCACGCGGCCAUCCAUCAUGUCACUCGGACUAACAACAUCAGCACCAGCACGGGCCUAUUUGGUCGUGCAAACAUAUUUUAAAUAUUAAGCUAAAUGUUGCUAUACAAAUCAGAAUUGUCAAGAAUACCUGACUAACUGCCUGUUUGCAAAGUUGAUGGACUGUUUCAUCAUUCAUGAUGACUCCUGUGAAAAGAUAAAAGAAGGAUUAACUAGAAGUUGCACGGUACUAAUCUUUCACAAUAUUGAUUUACUCGUAAGAUUAGAAUUGUUUUGCCCAUGAAUCAAACUGUACGUAUGAUUCAAUUUAUGAAUUGUAUGAUCUUCACAACUAUGAUUGAAACUACUAAUUUCCAUUACACCACUUGAAGAAAGCAAGUGCACAGAGAACGAAAAGAGUAAAAUAACUCACGGGGAGAAACAAUAAGAAAACUUCCAAAGAAUAAUAUUAACAUGAGAAUGGACAUUUCAAACUAUUUUAAAUAAAAAGUUCAAAUCACAAGCUUAAGAAUUACUUACCAUCUUCCCUUACAAUACCAUCGUGCCCAUCAGAUGAAUAGGGGUCCAACGCAACAUCAGUGUAAACAACCUAGGAAAACAUUAAAAAAAAAUUCAUUAGGAAUUUAUUUCGAAUGGAGAACCAUACAUUAAGAGUACCAUAUAACUUACAAUGUCAGGGUACUUGUCCUUGAGUAGGCGAAUUGCUCGAGGGACCAAGCCAUUAUCAUUGAAUGACUCAUCUCCUGUUUGUGACUAGAUGAACAAAAGAAAAGAAGAUAUAACUCUUAAUAUCAAGAAUAGAUAUAAAAUAAGAAAGUAUCUGUAUGUAAAAUAAACCUUCAAAGCAUCGGGAAUUUUCGGAAAGAGCACAAAACUGCUAACACCAACAUCUCGUGCCUUGUAAACCUGCAAACAACAACUGUUCAGCAUUUGGAAAUUGUUCACAAUGACUAUGAACAUCAGCUUGAAAGAGUCCUCAUUUAGAACUUUCAGGAAAGAUUGAUAACUACCAUAAUAUUCCGACUGAAAAUCUUACUUCAUGAUCAUUUCACAAGCACUAACAUUCAAAUGCUGUUGGAUAGUGCACCAAAAACGAUGCAAUCAUUUUACUAGUUUAAAGAAAAAAAAAACAGGUUGAAGUUCAUGUAUGAUCACCUCAUCAAGGAGGCCAUGGCGCCAUCCCAACCGAAAACAUCCAGGCAUAGCUCCAAUAGGAACAUCUUCUUCACCUACAAGUACCACAGAUUGGGAAGUUAAGUCCAAAUUAUUCUCGUCUUGCUUUGGUCAGAACUAUUUAAAAAAAAACAGAAUAGAAAAACAUUGAAACACUUUUGCCUAUCAACCUUCAUGAAUAAAGAGCGGAAGGACAAGAUUUGCGGCAGAUAGAUUUGUUUCUUGGAAAGAAACUCUAAGUGUCGCUGACUUUCGGUUACGACGUGGGCGCCUAGAAAGUGACUGGAACAAAGAGGGAAGUGAGAAAUCAGAAUUUCCUUUGAUACAUCUAAAGAAACAAAUCAAUGCGUAUAUCCUAAAAAUAUUCAAUAAGAAACACUCUGAAAUGUACGCUAAAUGAUGUAAUUUCAAAAGCCAGUAACUUCAAACUUACAAGAGGUUUAGCAUCCGGGGUUCCUCUAGGGCCGGAAGGCCUAUAGAGUGGCAGAGGAUCAGGGAAGUUGCCGGCCACAGCCGCUGCUUCACAUUCCUCGAUGCUUCGGCUUGAAAUCUUAGCCGAUGUGUCUUGCUCAUUGCUUGCUCUAAUAACCAUCGAUGGUUUGGCCUUCGCUCUCGCCACAAAAGAAACACAUCUCUGGGGACAAAUCAGCCUCAACCCAACAUAGUGAUGGUCAUAUCCAACUCUUAUCAGUCGAACAUUUCCGGUUGAGAAUGAGAUUGUCGAAGCCAUGACCUAUAUCCUAGUUGCCAAAUUCCAUGGGGGAAAAAAAGAAAAAAGAGAGAGAGAGAGAGAGAGAGAGAGAACAAGUAAUUUGCCAGAGCUAAUGUUCAGCUAAUUAUUAGACAAAAAACAUAUAUAAAAUAAUAACUCAUCCAGAUAAUAAAUGAUGAAAAUGUCCAAAAUAAGUACUUAAACAGAUCCCUUUUUUAUAUUUAUAUAUACAUGGGUCUUUGGCCAAAACAAAUUUCCGACACCGGCAACUAUUAAAACAGCACAAUUUUUUCACUAUAACACAAAUUAAAGCCCACCCACCAAGCAAAACAGCCUAAUUGAAGCAUACCCACAUGCAAAUUUCAACUACCCACAAGCAAAUUUCAACUAAAUUCGCAUAAAAUUGAUCCCCAGUGACAACAAGCAGUGUUUUUUUUUGCUGAUUUGAUAGAACCACAAAAGAAUCUCAGCUACAUUCGAACAAAAUUGAGGCCCGGUGGCAACAAGUUGCGAUUUUUUGGCUUCCUAAUCAAAUCUAAUAACAGAUUAUCACCAAAUUCGACCAUUUAUCCUAAAUUUCCAACCAUUCUAGCAUAAACAAAAAAAAAAUAAACUGUUUGAUUCAAGAGAACAAACUGCAACUAAGAUUUUAAAUUGGAAGAAGAGAGAGAGAGAGAGAGAGAGAGAGAGAGAGAGAGAGAGAGAGUUUACCUUUAUUAGAGAACGGCAAAGGAGGAGGAGGAGGAGGAGGAGGAGGAGGAGGCGAACUCCCUUAUCCUUUGUUUGGUGUCCUAAGAAGAGAGCGAGUGGGAGAGAGAAGGAAGUUCGAGAGGGUUUGGUUGGAGAGGGAGGAGGAAGAGGAGUAGGAAGAGGAUGGAGCAGUCGAGGCCGGAGAUGUGAGAGCGACAGGAUAAAACAAGUUUUGGAGACCCUCCUAUCUGCUCAUACGUUUUAGUUUUUCUUUCAUUUAAUACGAGGCAGGCCACCUUUGUCUCCACCUUCGCCUCUCUCUUCUUAGAGGGUAAAAAAAGAACGACAGAAAAAAGAAGAGAGGAGAGAAAAAAAAAAAAAAAAAAUUUAGUCAAUUUUUUUGAAAAUUCAGUUUGAAUCUGUAAAAUUAAAAAGUUUUGUAAAAAUUCAAAAUUUGUAGAUUUUUUAUACAAAUUGGCCAUAAAAAAUAUUAAAUAUUUUUUUAUAUAUCUCACUUGUCGCAUCCAUCAAAGGCUUGACGAUGUCUUCUCAAGCGACAACGAUAGUGACGGUGACGACGAUCUCUUUGACCGCUACGGAUGGGGAUGGUAGACGCGCAUUAGUGAGAGAGAUGUGAGGAUUGUAGAUGAUAGCAGACCGUUUGGAUACAUUAAUUAGAAGUAUGAAGAAAAAAGGAAAAGGAUCAUGAUAAAAUUAAUUGGAGAUAGAGAGAUGAGGAAUUGUAAAUGGCAUGGGACCAUAGAUGCAUUAAUUGGAAGCUUGGUAGUGGGACCUUUUAGUUACAUUAAUUAUUAAUUAGAAGUAUGAAGAAAAAAGGAAAAGGAUCAUGAUCAAAUUAAUUGGAGAUAGAGAGGUGAGGAAUUGUAAAUGGCAUGGGACCAUAGAUGCAUUAAUUAGAAGCUUGGUAGUGGGACCUUUUAGUUACAUUAAUUAUUAAUUAUAUUCAUUAAUUAAAAGUUUAGUCGAGAGAAGAAAAAAGAGUUAUAUGCUCCCGAGGGUGAAGGAGAAUUUGUCAUGUGGUAAAAAAAUAUUAAAGAAUCAUAUAGAUUAUUAUUAUUAGAAGAUUAAUUAAUAUAUUAAUAGAUAAUAGAUAGAUUAAGUAUUUUUUAACAUGAAAAGUAUUAAAAAAAUAGUUAGAUCCUAAAAAAGUAUUAUAAUUCUUGGAUAAAGAUAAAAAAAUUAUAGACAAAUAGUUUAUUUUUUCCUUUUUUUUAUGAGAGCGGAGGGAUGGAGAGUGAGGUUGAGUUGAGAGAGGACAGGUGAAAGUAGAAAGGCAUGGCCAUAGUGGUGAAAACAGAUUGGAUGCAGUUUGGCAGUUGAUAAAAUUGUAUUUAUUUUUCUUUGAGAUUAAAAAUUCGAAUGCAUCAUAUAUAUGGAAUGCUAAAAUUUGUAUUAUCAACCCUGUUAGAAAUAGAUUCAUAUACAAUUAAAUAUUUUUCAAAUUCUAAUAUGAACAAAUUUAUACUCGGAUAAUAUAUAUCAAUAUUCAGAUAUAAAUAUGAAUUAAAAUUAGCACGACUAAAAUAUAAUGUAAUUAAAAUUUUACAUUCAUAUUCAAACUAUAAAUUUGUAUAUUUUAUUCAAUAAAAUUUUAGUGGCUUCUUUCUUCAAAAUAAAAAUCGAAAUCGAAAUAAGAAUUGGAAUACUAGAGUGCAAAAAGGGAAUAAUGAAAUCUUCUAAUCUGCUUGGUUAAUAAUAGGAAAUGAAAUAAGAAUUAACAUAUUAUUGUUUACUUGAGAAAAUUUUAAUUUUCUAUAAAAAUAUUUAAAAUAGAAUUAAUAAUUCAGCAUAGAAAUUAAAUUAUACACUCAAAAUAUAAACUUUAAAAUAUGAAUUUGAAUCCAUGGUCAGUAUUCAAAUUUCUUAUGCAAAUUUUGAUUCGCAAUUAAAAUAUAAAUUUUGAUCCAAAUUUAGGUUUAAAUUAAAAAAUCAAAAUGAUAUAAUGAAUUCAUAAUUUAAUCAAAAUGAAUUCAAAAAAUUAAAAUUUUAAUCAAAAAUUUAAAUUAAUUAUUUAAAUUAGUAAUCUAAAUUUAAACCAAAUUUGAACUUACAAUUUGAAUUUAAAAUUAAUUUUAAAAUGAAGCCACAAUUCAAAUUCAGGUUCAAAGUAAAUUUUGUAUCUAUAUUUCAAGUUUAAGUUCAUUAAAUUCAGAAUUAUAUUUUAAUCAAAAUUAUAUUUAGAUAUAUACAUAUAUCUAAAUUUAAAUAAUAAUUAUUAAAUUUUAUAAAAAUAUGAUGUUGUGGGAAAUUGACAUAUCCUCGUGCCAAAUAUAAAUUAAUAAUAUGAGUCCGGCUACUAUACUCUUAUGAGUAUAGAAUUUUCUUGCCCUCACAAGUUUUCGGUUGUUAAAUCUACCCUAUUAACCAUUUCCGCCCGUUAGAUUAUACUAUUCAAUCAACCAUCCACUCAACUCUAGUGUACUACUGUCAUCCUAACCGGGGACCACUAUCAUCCUAACCGCACAUCCUUUCAUCCAAUGAUCGAAAACUUACGAGUAUAAAUGGUUCUAUGUUCAUAAGUGUAUAGUAACCCUAGCCUUAAUGAGUCCGGCUGCUAUACUCUUAUAAGUAUAAGCUUUUUUGUACUCAAGUUUUUAGCCGUUAAAUUUAUUUUUUUGACCAUUUCCGCCCGUUAGAUCAUACUAUUCAACCAACUACCCACUCAACUCUAGGAGACAUUAUCAUCCUAACUACACAUCCUUUCAUCCAACGGUCGAAAACUUAAUACAUAUUAUUUUUUGGAUAAUCAAAUCCAUAUUUGAGUUUUUCGGAUAUCCAAUUUUGAAAUUGUUGAGACCAUAUUUGUAGUCGUUAGGAAUGUCAAUGGGUAUGGAUACCUGAAAUAUUAUCCGAACCCGAACCCGAACUUGGCAGGUUUACCCGAGCUAAACGGAUAUGGAUUCGGUUAUGGGUAUAGAAAAUAAAAACCUAACGAAUAUGGAUACGAGUAUGGAUUUUGUAUUUACUGGACCCAAACCCGAACCCGAACCCAAACCCGAACCCGACCCGAAUCCGAAUCCGAAUCCAAACAAAUUAUAUAACAUUUUGAUAUUGCAGUACACUGAACUUUAGCAAAUUAUAAGGUUCCAGUGUCAGAAUAGUAUUUUGAUCUAUUCUUUGUGUGUUUGAGGGUCGUUGACUAUGUACCGACCUUUUACUCGUGUUUUGUGAACGCGAGAGGGAGUUCUUAAUUAACACCAAAAUCUGCAAACUGCAGGUUUUGAGGUGUUGAGUACUGGUACCUGAGUGGUGUACCGGAACCCCAACGCAUGACCGAGAAAGCUGCUCCUGGGUUUGAGCUUUGGGGUGUUGAGUACCGGUACGGAGUCGGCGAGUAGCGGUACUGGGCCGGGUACCAGUACUGCAUUGAGCUGGUACCGGUACACCGUAAAUAACCCGAUUGACCGAGGCUUGGGUUUUGCGAGUCUGAGUGCCGGGUACCGGUACUCUAAUUUGAGUACCGGUACGCAGUGCAGUAAACUGUGCUUUUGUGCAGUUUGCUAUUUGGGUCUUUUUGAGGGUCUUUUUGGGGAUUGUUGCUUUGCCAUAGAAAGAGAGCCACCUAGAGACGAGGGAAAGAGAGAGAGAGACCCGGUUAGGAGAGAGGUAGAGAGAGAGGGGGGUAUUUGGAGAGUGGGGAAGAGAGAGAGACCGAGUGGAUGGGGAAAAAGGAGGGGGUGGGUAUGGAGAGAGAGAGGGCCAGCUGGCAAGGAAGGUGAAGAGAGAGAGUCGGUAGGGGUGGGGAGAAGAGAGAAAUGAUAGGAUAGGGGGAGAGAAAGAGGGGGCCAGCUGGAGAUGGAGGAAGAGAGAGAGAGAGGAAGAGGGUGUGAGGAGAGAGAGGGCCAGCUGGCAGGGGAGGGAAAGGAAGAGAGGCUCGAGUGAGAGAUAGCCUCGCCACGUGGAAUGAAGCAAAGAUAGAGGUACCACAUGGGAUCGGAGAAAGUGCCAAAUUAUAUUGUGUUAGAUAUAGAUAGUAGAAUGAAUAUGAAUAUAAAUCCUAUUACAUAUAUUAUACAUUUUUAUUUAUAAAUAUAUAUUUUAUUUAAAAUAUUAUAUAAUAUUUUAUUUAUAAAAUAUAUAUAUGUUUUAUUAUAUAAAUUUAUAUAUAUAAUAAUAUAUAUUAUUUAUAUGAGUCCGACUAUAGUGCUUCUGAAAGCACCACUCGUAUGGUGCUUUUAAUUUUAUUACCCUUGGAUCAAUACUUUGAUCAUUCCUAAUCCUUAAAUUAAUAUUAUUAUCCUAGAGGAACCACUAAACUCUAAGGGAUCACUAUCGUCCCAACCCUCCAAUUCUUAAUUCAAGAACCAAAAAGUGGGAAGCACCACUUACUUUAUAUUUUCAGAAGCAUAAUAGUUCUACACCUUUUAUGUAUAUUAUUAUACUAUAUGCUUUACCAUUUUAUCAUAUACUAAAAUUUUGAUAUAUUUAUAAUACAAAUAUAAGUUAUAAUAAUAAUAUAUAUACUAUGAUAAUUAGAGUGCGACUGGGAUACUAUCGAUAGCACUAAGAAUUUUGUGUUACCGAAUUUUCUAUCGUUAGAUAUAACCUUUUGAUUAUUUUUAUCCUUAAAUUAUAAUAUUCAACCAACCACUCACUCAACCCUAGGGGGGUCUCAUCAUUCUAACCACAUAUUUCUCAAUUCAAGUACUAAAAAACUAAUAGCACCAAUAACUUUGUGCUAUUAAUAGUAUUUCAGCCUAAUUCUCAUUAUUAUUAUAUAUAAAUAAUAUAUAAUAUAUAAUAUAAAAUAAAAGAAAAUUUUAUAUAAUAUUUUUUCUUUUCUUUUCAACAAAAUAAGUGCGGUGAAAACUAUUGUUUUUCCUAACCCAAAUAUUAAAAAAAUAUAAAAAAAGACUUUUAAUAAAUUUUUUUUUACUGAUUUUUUUUUUUUUUACACUUUUUAUGUAAAAUCAAAGAUCCCAUUUAAAAAGAACAAAAGCCAGUACCUAGUGGAGAAAAGUCUAGGCUAAAAAAGAGCUUCACGCCACAGCAGCGCCGCGAGGCAGAGCCCACCGCUUCAACUUCGUGGACAAAACAAGGACGGAAGAAUGAAACAGCACAGAAAAAUUAAAAAAAAAGGACAAAAGAAGAAAACUGCAAGCAUGAAAAUCCGUGGCGCCUCUUGUCCCGUCCCCGUGUCCUCUUCUCCUCUCACUUUGAGGAAGAAUUUUAGAAUGCACAUCAGUUAUAGUCAGAGAGUGACGUUUUCAACUAAUUAAAUAUUUUUUUUUAUAUUAAUCUAUCACAUUAUGAGUAUAAAAAAAUAUUAUAAUUUACUUAUUAUUGCUGAUAUGGUGCAAGUGUGACACAGUAUACUUUCUCCACUUCUAAGAAUGUCAACAAAUCUAUUUCCGGACAAAUUUUUAAAAAUUCGAAUCCGAAUCCGACCAUCAAAUUCGAAAUUCGAAUCCGAACCCGAAUCCGACGAAUUUUAAAAAUCCAUAUCCAAGCUCGAACCGGAUAAAAAAUUGAAAAUGCGAACCUAAUUCUGAACCCGAGCUUAAAAAUCCAAAUCCAAUUAAUUCUCUUUACAAUAAUUCAAAAUAUAUUACAUCAAAUUCAAAUUUUAAAGUAUAAAUUCAAAUACAACAUCAAAUAUCUAUUAUAUUAUAUAAUAUAAAAUAAUUUCAUGUUCGAAUUGGAUACAAUAAAAAAUUUAUAUUCGAAUCCAAAUCUGUCGGAUUUCUAUUUUUUAUAUUUAUAUUCAAAACUAUAUUUAUUUAACAUCAGAUAAAUUUAUUUUGUUUGGCUUCGAAUCCGAAUAAAAUUUCGAAUGUCUAUGUCCAUUCACAUACCUUUCCACUUCCAUGUACUUAUUGUCAUAUUCUUUCUGUUUCUCCGCCAACCUUUGGAUUAGAAUAGUAAAAAAUAUAAUUUUUAAAAAUUAAAAUUAAGUACGCCAAUUCGUGAAUUGGCGACUUCAGAAUUUGUUGUAAAUUAAGGUAGACAGGAUUUAAUUUUUCUCACCUUUUUUUUUUCUAAUAAGCAAUAUUUUAAAGCGAAAAAUGAUGUACCGGAUGCACAAAAAAGUCCCCACUGCUCGGCCUUUUUCCCAAAAGGCAGAGCAGCGGCGGCCAUGAGCCCCGAGUGGCAAAGGUGCCACACGGCACCCAUCGGGCACGUCUCCAUAUUACUUUUUACGCACACAUUGUCCAUAAAAUUUUUGCGAAAUUUCUAUUACUUUUUCAAAUGCUACAGUAGAAAAAAUAGAUUUUAAUAUGCCUCGGAACUUUCACAAGAUUGCAUGCAGGCUGUUUGUCGAGAAAGGAAUGUCUACUUAAUAACUUUUUCUUUUUUUUUUUUAAGAAAGAUUUACUAAAUUAUUUAGAAGGUUUUGUACUUAUUUAUUUUCACAGAAGGAGGAGUUAAGGUUCAAAUAGACUUUCGGGUUAAUUAGAAUUCAAAUAAAAUUUCUUUUAUAUCGCUGUUUGUUUGUACAAUUGUGGAAUAAAAGUUUUUCCAAUUUUAUUAUUUGUUUCGCAGGAUCAAAGUGAAUAACAUAAAAACUAAAAGUAUAAGAGAGAGGUUAAUAUUUUAUUGCUUUUUUUAAAAACUUUUUCUCUUCAUAAUUGAUUUGGUGUUGGGUCGACCGAAAUCAAUUACCAUAUUAAAUUUAAAUUUCGAUCGAAAGUAAAGUUACAAUGAACUAAAUAAUAAAAAUAAUAUUUAUGACUAAAAAAUUGCUUUAUCUCUCUCCACUUCAGCACUUUGCACUUAACGCUUAGGACUCUUUGUCCAUUUUGGUUUUUUUUCCAUUAAUACAUAUUUAUAUAGAGAGAGAGUAGAGCUAUUAUACUUUGAGAAGUAUAAGAGAAUUGGUGCUUCCAACUUUUUGGCACUUGGAUCAACUCGUUUGACCAUUCUUAUAUUUAGAUUAAUACUAUAACUUUAGGAGGAUCACUCAAUCCUAAGCAUAGUUAGUUAAUUCGGAUUCGGCAAAAAUUCGGUACGGAUAUAAUACGUAUAAAAUUCGUUUUCUAAUUUUUAAAUUCGUUGAAAAAUUCGGAUUAAAAAAAGAUUCGGUAUAAAGUAUAAAAUAUAAGAUAUAAAAUAUUAAAUAAUUUAUAUUUAAAAAUAAAAAUUAUAAGUUUUUAUUCAUAUUUUCAAUAAUUCAGAAAUAAUUCGCGAAUAAUUCGGCUGCCCCAAAAAUUUGCGAAUAAUUCUCUUUUUUGGGAAAAAUUCGUAAACGGACCGUUUAAUUCGGAUUUUCAAUAAUUCGCGAAUUAACUAACUAGGAUCCAAAGGUGACCACUCAAUUCUAAAGAGACUACUAUCAUCUCGACCCUAUAAUUUUUUAUCCAAGCGUCAAAAAGUCGGAAGUACAAACUCUUUUAGAUUUUCGAAAGUAAAGAAUAUAUAUAUAUAUAUAUAUAUGCUACUAUACUAUCGAUAAUACCAAGUGUUUGGUGCUAUCGAGUUUUCGAUCGUUGGAUGAAAGGAUAUACUGUUAGAAUGAUAGUGGUCUCCGGUCAGGAUGACAAUAGUCCCCUAGGGUUGAGUGGGUGAUUGGUUGAAUAGUAUAAUCUAAUGGAUAAAAAUAAUCAAAUGGUUGAUCUAACGGCAGAAAACUCGAUAGUACAGAGCUUGGUACUAUCAAUAGUAUAGUAGCCAGACUCUCUCUCUCUCUCUCUCUCUCUCUCUCUCUCUCUCUCUCUCACACAAAUAUAUAUAUAGUUGAGCUAGAAUACUUCCAAAAGAACUAAAGAGGUGGUGUUUUUGAGUUUUUAGUCUUUGGAUGAAGAGAUGUAGGGUUGGGAUGAUGAUGGUAGGUGGUGGUAGGUGGAAUAGUGUUUGAUCCAAUGGUUAUUAAUAAUCGAGGAGUAGAUACAAGGGCUAAAAACUUGGAAACACCAAGUAUUCUAGCUCAAAUAUAUAUAUAUAUAUAUAUAUAUAUAUAUAUAUAUAUAUAUAUAUAUAUAUAUAUAUAUAUAUAUGUAAACACUUGGUGUUACCAAAUUUUCUAUCGUUAAAUUUAUCCUUUGACCAUGUUUACCUGUUAGAUCAUAUAUACUAUUCAGCCAACCACCCAAUCAACUCUAGGGGACCACUAUCAUCCUAAUCAUACAUCGCUUCAUCCAAGGGUCGAAAACUUAAUAUGUAAUAUAUCGACUCCCCGAAUCGCGAUGCUAAUUUUGAUCGAAUUGAUCAAAGUGAGGCAAGGGGGUGAUAAGUGGCGUCCCCAAGUUACUUUGGAGGUGUGGGGAUGGUUUGUAGUGAGUUUCGAAAGUAUUUGGGUGUUUUCGGCCGAAACCGUGUGCGAAAACGGACCCCGUAACACUGCUGCUGUGGGACUGCAGCUUUAGCAUUGAGUACCGAUACCAAGUCAAUGCAGUACCGGUACCCAAUAGAAGAGGAAAAUGGGCAGCUCUCGGGUUUAGCUAAGCCGAGCUGCGUACCAGUACCAAAGGAUGGGUACCGGUACUCAGCCAGUUGCCCGAAAGAUGAGCUCUCGGUUUUGAGUUGCUGUCAAGUUGGAUACCGGUACUAUGUAUCUAGUACUGGUACUGAACAUAUUGGGUAUCGGUACUGAGUGGCUGGUACCGGUAUCUCGCGAGCAAACCCGAAAGGCCAGCCCUCGGGUUUGGGGGGCUGUUUGGGUGUGUACCGGUACCGCGUAGCUGGUACUGGUACUAGGACUGUGCAUCGGUACUCCAGGUUAGACCAAAGCCUGCGUAGCUCUCGGGUUGCUGACUAGUACCGGUACUGUGUACCUGGUACCAGUACUAGAAGCCUCGCGUACCGGUACUCCAACCCAAGUACCAGUACUCAGCUUGCAAAGGACUGAAAAGUAAUGGGUAAAUAUGGAAUUGUGAGGGGUCUAAGUGCAAUUGUUAGGGUCUAUAUAAAUACCCCAACAUUUACACCUGUUGUUUACAUGCAAGAGCUCCUUGUUAUCUCCUCCUUCUCAUUUCCCCUCUCCUUCUCUCUCUAUAAACCUUCCCUCAAGGUGGAUUUGAAGGAGAUUUGAAGGUAGAAUUUGGUAGCUUUGGUGGAGAAGAAGCUCAAGAACAAUGAGGAUUUCGUGGAGCAAGGAGUCAAGGUAGGUUUCUUGCAUUUCUAGGUUAGGGUUUGGUUUAAAUACCCUAAUUUGCUAGUUUUUGAGAUUCUUGGAUUUCUAGAGCUUUGAUGAUGCUAUGAAAUCCUAGAAAGUGUGCACUAAAGGUAUCAUGUAGGAACCCUAGGGUUAGAAAUGGGGUUUUGUAAGAAUAUUAAUGGGGAUCUAUCAUGGAUUUGAUUUUUUGUAUUCCUAAUUGAAGGUUAAUUCGACGUGUUGGGAGGCUCAAAUCGACGUACCGACGAGUCUACGGUAAGCUUUUGAGGAAAAUCCUCAUUUUGCCUUUGUUUGCUGUGAGUCGAGAGUUAUAGGCGGCUAAAAAUCGCGAAACUUGGUUUCUCGCACUCCGGCAUCCUUACGAGGUGGGUGGUGCUAUCCUAAAUCUUUGAAUCCUUCAUUAUAUCUAUGUCCCCUUAUUGAGCAUAUAUGUAUAUGUAUAGUAUAGUAGUCAUGCAUUGUAGGGUAAAAUGAUAUGUGGUUAGAUGUGAGAUCUCUUGUAUGCUUUCAAUGUAGAAAACAUGUGAAACAAGGACCAUGAUAUAAAAACCCUUUGAAUGUAUGAACUCGUGUUGGACAAUAACAAUAGUAAACAAGGUGACAUUGUGAUUAGACGGAAUGAAUAGCACCAAGACUUAUGAAUGCUAGGCAAAGAAAACUAUGUAAACUUUUUGGCAAUUGUGACAUUGUAUCCUCCAAGUAAGGAUUCGAUUGUACUCACAGAUAUUCUAAAUGCUUGACGGUGGUCGCUCUACCUCAAGCGGUGAGCUCCGGAGUUGUCAUCACUGGGCGGUAGCAGAAUUCUCCCCAGCAGACGGUCCCGUCGGGUUGUAGCGGUAUUCUCCCAGACAAAAAGGGAUUUGGUUUGGUGAGUUAGGUUAACCAAAGGGUUAACCAAGAGAAUUGGGUGAAGGUAAAGGUAAAAGUGAGUUGCGUGCAUCAUGAGCAUAUUACCUGUUGUUCUAUUUUGUACAGGCAUUGUAGUAGCAUUGGUGUGGUUUGUUAUCUAUUUCUUUUUCCUACAUAUGCCUGAGUAGACCUAGUGGGUGAGUCGGCGAGGUCGGCGGCCGAACCCACUAGGAACUUUCAGUAGUUCUCACCCUACUAACCUUGCAGAUCCUAGCGCGAGCUGGGCGAUCGAGGAUCGCAGCAAGGGCAUCACGCCCUAGGUAGUGGACUUCCCGAGUAUAGCUAUGUACCUAGUUUACUUUCAUCUUCUGUAUAUGAUGAAAAGAGAUGUAAAGAACAUGUGAUGUAUUUUGGGAAAAUGUAAGAAUCAUGUAUGUAAUGAAAUCGUUAUGCAACUUUGUAUUUGGUUUAAUGUAAUCAAAGUACAAUGAAUGGAUGUAAUAGCUAGUUUUACUUCCACUUGUUUUGGUUACUUUCUCUCGUGUAAGCCAUAUAUAUCGAAAAUUUUCUGGGCAUUUCUUUAUACAUGUUCAUGAUUGUAGUUGUUGAACCUUGGGCAAACAGGGGAGGUUCUGUCUGUUCGGCAUUUGUUUACAUUCUCAAACGAUCAAAUUGGCGGUCGCGGGGUGUGACAAAUAGAAUAGUAUCAGGGCACGAAAAGUGAAAGUAUAGGAUGGACAUAGGGACCUUAGGAUUGGAGACCUUACGGACUUUAGGACAUGAGUAACGUGGACUUGAUUUAGAGCGAAAGCUAAAUGGAUUGGGUUAGUUGGUAGUAUAUCUCUAAUGGUGAUUAGGGACUAAUUUAAGUUGUUAUUUGUUCUCAACUUUGGGGGUUAUGUUGGCGGCUGACAACGUAAUGCCUAAAGGUGAGAACAAAUACACUUGAUUCACUACAAGAAAAAGCGGAUGUAGAGGCGGUUGUAUAGAGAUGGUUCCUACAACCGCCUCUACUUUGUCAUGUUAGAGGCAGUUUAGAGGCAAUUUUUAAAGACCGCCUCUAAAUCCAGUGGAAAACAAAAUAAAUUUUCUUUUUACUAAACCCUAAAAGUUACUCACCCUUUUAACCCUAUGAGCCGCCUAACCCUAACCUGCUCCCAAAAACUUACCGCAGUGCGGCCGCUCCUACUACGGUCGCGCAGGCCCCUUCAUCUCCUCCACUUGCUCGACCUCGCUCACCUCCCCCUUCUCGGCCCCUUCCAAUAUAUAUAUAACUAGGCUGGAAUACUAUCAAUAGCACCGAGCUAUUGGUGCUAUUAGUUUUUUAGCCCUUUGAUUGAGAAAUGUGCGGUUAGGAUGAUGUGGGCCCUCUAGGGUUGAGUAGGUGGGCGGUUGGUUGAAUAAUAUAAUCUAACGGGUAAAAAUGAUCAAAGGGUUAAAUCUAACGAUGGAAAACUCGAUAACAUCAAGCCCUUGGUGCUAUGGAUAGUAUCCUAACCGAACUCUCUCUCUCUCUCUCUAUAUAUAUAUAUAUAUAUAUAUAGAGAGAGAGAGAGAGAGAGAGAGAGAGAGAGAGAGAGAGAGAGAGUCCGGCUACUAUACUCUUAUGAGUAUGAUCGCCUUCGUACUCAUAAGUUGUUUUUGAUGAUAGAGCUUUCGAAUCGACGAUUCAUAUCAUUAAAUAUUAUCUAGAGUAUUUAAAACUUCUAGAAAUCAAAUUUUAUAAUUUUUUGAUAUUAUUUACCUUACGAUCAAAAGCUCACAAAAUUGACAAUUUUUAACGGCCGGUAUGAGAUAUUUACUAGUUUAACGGUGUAAAAGAAUCGGAAUAGGUUGAAUUUUUGAUAGAAAAUUCUAUUCACUACCUAAAUAAAGAUCAAUAACUCCGAUCUUAAAUUGAAGGAUCCGAUCAUCUAUUUUUAGGAUGUCAUUUGAUUUUGACCGUUCAUUUUAUAGCCGCUAGCUGGACUUUAUAAUGAUUUCGAAAAAUUACAAAAUUUAUUUUCUAGAAGUUUUAAAUAUUCUAGAUCAUAUUUAACGGUGUGGAUCAUCGAUUCGAAAACCCCAACAUCGAAAACAACUUAUGAGUACAAAGAGCUUUAUACUCAUAAGAGUAUAGUAGCCAGAGAGAGAGAGAGAGAGAGAGAGAGAGAGAGAGAGAGAGAGAGAGAGAGAGAGAGAGAGCGCGCUAGGCUGGUAUAUUAUCGGUAGCACAGAGGCUUCCGUGCUACCAAGUUUACCAAGUUGUUUUCAAUGAUGCGGCUUCUAAAUUGACGAUCAGCUCCGUUAGACUUGAUCUACACGAUUGAAAGUAUUUGGAAACUAAAUUUCAUAAUUUUUCGAUAUCAUUUGGCUAGUGAUCAAAAGGUCUCAAAAUUGACAAUUUUAAGGGUAGAUUUGAUGUGUUUGUGAAUUUAACGGUGUAAGACAAUCCAAAUUUGAUAAAAAUUUUUAUAGAAAAUUCUUUUUACUAUUUAGAGUAAGAUCAGUAUCUCUGAUCUUAAAUUCAAGUCUUUUAUUAUCAUUUUUUAUGAGAUUUUUAUUUUCAGCCGUUUAUUUUUAGACUACUCGUUUGAUAAGUAAAUGAUGCCGAAAAAUUAUGAAAUUUAGUUUUCAAAUAUUUUCAAUAGUGUAGAUCAAGUAUAAUGGAACCGAUUGUCGAUUUGGAAGCCGCAUCAUUGAAAACAACUUGGUAGCACGGAAGCCUCCGUGCUACCGAUAGUAGGGCUACUGUGCUAUUAGGAGUACAUCAAUUCUUAUGCUCCUAACUUUCAACCACCCAUCAAACUUGAUGGGUGGUUAGAAUGAGAGAGGGAAGAGAUAUUGGGGAGAAAUUAGGUGUCUUAAUUUCUCUUCUCCUUGAAAUCUAUCUACCCAAAAUCUCUCCUCUCUAUUAAUUACCCUCAUCGGACUAUAUAUAUAUAUAUAUAUAUAUAUAUAUAUAUAUAUAUAUAUAAUAUAUAUAAUAUAUAUAGAGUGAGGCUACUAUGCUAUCGGAAGCACGGAGCCUUUCGUGCUUCCAGCUCGUUUUCGAUGUUGCGACUUUCGAAUCGUCGAUCGGCUCCGUUAACUUGAUCUAGUAUUUGAGACCUACAAAAUAAAUUUUAUGAUUUUAUGAUAUCAUUUGCCUAGUGAACGAAGGGCUCAAAAUCAACGGCUGAAAAUAAAAUCUUACAAAAUGUAAUAAUAUGACAUUAAAUUUUAAAUCAAAGAUAUCGAUCUUGUUUUAUAUAGUAUAAAGAAUUUUCUAUUUAAAUAUUUAGUGAUUUGGAUAUUCUACACCGUUAAACUUGCAAACGGCACACUACGGCCAUUGAAAUUUGUUGAUUUUGAGACCCAUUCGAUCACUAGACAAUGAUAUCGAAAAAUAAUAAAAUUUAUUUCUUUAGAUACUCCAAAUCCUCUAUAUCAGUUUAACGGAGCAAUCGACGAUUCGAAAGUUGCAACAUCGAAAACGAGCUGGAAGCACGGAAGCUCCGUGCUUUCGAUAGCAUAGUAGCCUCACUAUAUAUAUAUAUAGAGCUAUGCUACUAUACUAUCUAUAGUACCUAGCUCUGGGACUAUAGUGUUUGUUUUCGAUCUUAGGGCGUUCCAAUCAACGACCACACCGUUAAAACUGAUCUAGGGUAUUUUAAGUUUCUAGAAAUAAAAUUUUAUAUUUUUUCGACAUAGUUUACCUUAUGAUCAAACUAUUUCAAAAUUAUCAAUUUUCAAUGGCUGUUAUGACGAGUUUGGAGUUUAACGGUUUAGAAGAAUCUAAAUUUCUUCAAAUUUUGAUAGAAAAUACUUUAAACUAUAUAGAUUAAGGUUAACAUUCUUGAUCUUGAAUUUAAAAGUCCUAUGCUCAACUUUUAAAAUUAUUCAAUUUCCACGGUCCAUUUUGAUUAAUUUAUUACUAAGUAAACGUAUCGAAAAACUAUAAAUUUUAUUCCUAAAAACUUCAUAUACCUUAGAUCAUAUUCAACGGUGUGCGAUCAUUGAUUUGAACGCCCUAAGAUCGAAAACAAACACUAUAGUACCGGAGCUCGGUACUAUAGAUAGUAUAGUAGUUUAUAUAUAUAUAUAUAUAUAUAGUUGAGCUAGAAUACUAUCGGUAGCAAACGGACUCCGUUGCCACCCAUUUAUUUUCGAUGAUGGAGCCUCCAAAUCGACGAUCGGCACCGUUGAACAUAAUCUAUACCACUUGAAGUAUCUAGAAAUCAAAUUUCAUGCUUUUCCGAUAUUGUUCUCUUAUCCAUCGAAUGGACACAAAAAUAAACGGCUGAAAAUGAAUAUUCUUAAAAAAAUGAUGAUAGGAGUCUUGUAAUCAAGAUCAAGAGUAUAGAUCUUGUUUUAAAUAGUUUAAAGAAUUUUCUAACAAAAAUUCAAUUGAUUUGAAUAUCUUUACGCCGUUAAACGAGAAAACGCCUCAUAUCGACCAUUAAAAUUACAAAUUUUGAAUCCCUUUGAUCAUUAGGCAAAUGAUGUCGAAAAGAUUUGAAAUUUGAUUUCUAAACACUUAAAGUGGUAUAAAUCAUGUUCAACGGUGCCAAUCGUCGAUUUGGAGGCUCCAUCAUCGAAAACAAAUGGAUGACAAAAAAAUCGGUUUGCUAUCGAUAGUAUUUUAGCUCAACUCUCUCUCUCUAUAUAUAUAUAUAUAUAUAUAUAUAUAGAAUUAGGUUGGAAUGCUAUUAAUAGUAAAACGCUCUUUUUACUAUCAAGUUUUUAACCCUUGGAUGAAAAAUUGGAGGGUCAGGAUGAUAUUAGUCAGUUAGAAUUGAGUGGUCCCUCUAGGGUUGAGUGGUCCCAGCUGGGUUAUAGUAUUUAAUCCAAUGGUUAGAAAUAAUGAAAAUAGUUGAUCCAAAGGCUAAAAAACUAGUAGCAAUAAUGGGAUUUUGCUACUAAAUAGUAGCUCAGUGCAACUCUCUCUCUCUCCNAUACGUAAGAAAAAAUACGUACUAAAUACGGUGAACCAUUUACCGUGUUCACCGCACGGUGAAUAGUUCACCGUGUUCAACUUAACACAUGGGCCCAGCCCUGCCCGCGUGGCGCUGACGUGGCGCCUGCGUGGCAGGCCCAGAAUUAUUUUUGCAAAUUAAAUUUUGACAGAACUAUUUUUAAAAUAAAAAUUUGUUAGGGAUCUAAAUGCAAAAAAAAGCCUAUUAUAUAGUAAGCGAUCGAGUCCCACUCACAUCGAACUACCCGAUAUAAUCAAUCAAUUUUGAUCUCCUUUUUUGGGUCUGUCUGUCUUUUUGCGAUCAUCCGGGAACUACCAAUUAAUUAAGGGAGAGAGAUCAGAUGGAGGAGGAGGAGGAGGGGACGGGCCGCGAAGGGUUGCUGGAGAAAGAGGAGGAGAGCUGCGGGCUGCAGGUGCGGGGGCCGGGAUGGCGGCGGCGAAGGCAGCUGAUGAUGAUCUGGGAGGAAGGGAAGCGGGUGGGGCAUCUGGCGGGGCCGAUGGUGGCGAUGGGGCUGACGCAGCUGCUGGUGCAGGUCGUCUCCAACAUGAUGGUCGGCCACCUCGGCCAGCUCUCCCUCUCCAGCGCCGCCAUCGCCACCUCCCUCACCGGCGUCACCGGCUUCAGCCUCCUCGUACGUUAGUUUCCACAUAUAUAUUAUUAUAUUUAUUUACUUUUUUAAAGAUCAUAAUAAUAUACGUGUUGCGUAUUCUUCUUUGUCGUGUGGCUAGAAUACUGUUAUUAUUAUAUAACAUAAUAUUAGAACCGCCUUUGAACCGGACUGUUUGUGAGGUUUGUCCGCGUCUGGCGCCCACAGUAGCCGGUCCCGCUGUCAUAGGUCUCUCAAAAUGAUUGAGAAUUUUAUUAGUAGGGUGUGUUACGGCUAGCGCACAAACAAAAAUGAACGAAAAUGGCGAACGUGAAGUAGACAAGCAACAAACAAGAAAAAAAUAAAUAACAUAUACAUUUACGUGAAAAAUCCUUUGCAAGGAAAAACUACGGGCGAGGGAGGAAAGAACUUCACUAUCGAAAAGGGGAAUACAAAGUUCGUCAAUACAAUGAUCGAUCUAUCGUCUCUAGAGCAAAACUUAGAAAGAUACCCACCACAUGCAUCCAUUUUCCUUCACAAUCUUCUUUUCCAAAUUGGUCGCACUUCGAAACUGUCGACGAGUCGGAGUUCCAAAACUAAAGUCGAUUACCAAUUUCGAGGCACAUCUAACAGAGUGAAAAUGUGAAGAGACCCCCUCAACUAUAAUACCCAAUUUGAUGAUAAACCCGUAGUCUAGAGUUUUUCUUUUUCUUUAUUGGAUUGAGAACUCUCUCAACUUUCAAUUGUUUUGAGUAAUCUGCAUUAGAUUAGCUGAAAAUUUCUUUAGUUUCAUACAACUAAAAAGAAUGAUUGAAAUAAAUUAAGUUUCUUUAGAAAAAGAAGUAAUUGAGAGCUGAAGGAGUGUCAAUUUUGGUGGCCUAUUUAAGAAUUGCUUAUAGCUGUGGGGGGGUGUCUCCAUACAUUUUUAGCUGUUAGUAAUCUAUUGAAAUGGGAUCCUAUCAGAUAUGUAAUUUUUAUGAGAAGAUUGAUCUGUUGUGAUCGAUUGCGGUUUGGGAAUUAUUUUGACUUUAAUUUGGUUAUAGAGAAUAUAAUGGAAUUCAUGGUGCCCAUUUAAUUGGGAGGAUACUGCUGUUGACAUUGGCUUUAUUGACUUAAUUUUUUGUAUUUUGAUACAAUAAAAGGUUUUAGAACUGUUAAAUGAAUGGGGCAUCAAAUUAGUUAACUAAGAAAGGCUGUUGGAGAAAUAUCACAUAUUUCCAAUAAAUGGCAUAGACCAGGUUUUUUGUGGAUGGGGCCAGUUAAUGUAAAACAUGGGCAACUUUGUUUUUGAUUGGGAAAAAAGGUGUUAAAGUGGAAGGAACCUUAUGUGGUGUAAUUUAAUUGGUUCCAUUAUAUAGUAGAGGAUGGGUCCAGGCAUUAAUUGAUUAGGUGGUCGUUUUGACUCCAAAAGCGCUUUUGGGACUUCAAAAAUGCACCAUCAAACAGGCAGUGUCUCUCUUUGUAUGUCACUAUGUAGCUUUUAACUCCACAUUGUUUUUUUUUUUUUUUUUUUUUUGGGGUUCUAUUAUAUACUUUCAUUGGGUGAUGAUAAUUCUUGUCCUCAGUUUCAAUCUCCUUGUAGUAAUUUGAAUUUUACUAUUUAGUUCCUAAAGUUUUCUCUACAUACCGAUGAAGUUCUUUUAGUUAUCUAUCUUUGAACAAGAGCCACUUGAGCUUCGUGGGUAGAAUUUUUGUUUUGCCAGAAGUGAAAAUUUGAGUUUGAAGAUGAAAUUUAAGGCAACAACUAGGGAUGAACUCAAAAUCAAGGUCAAACUUCAAGGACCUAGUUGAAAUUCCAAAUUUUGAAUUGAAAACACAGUCAAACAUCAGCUAUUCUAAUUAAGAAUAAACUCGAACUACAGGUUCCAAACUCGAACUACAGGUGAACCUUUGGACUAAAAUUGUAACUAACACUACUUUUGCAAGAAGAAUGAGUGGUGAUACAUGCAAUCUCAUGAAUUGUUGUUUUAGAUUUGUGCAGUGGAUCACAUAGGUUCUGAACUAGAGCACGGGUUAAUGUCCAGCCUAUGCAUGAUCUUAGGUAGUCAAACUCAUAGAAACAGAACUUUCUUGGACUUAAAUUUGGCACCCAAAAGUUGGAGUAGAGCCCCUACAGUAUAGCUACCAUUCAAGCUACCACGCAGGUUUGGUUUCAGAUUAUUUUCUAACCAAAAAUACAGUUAGUUAGAUGGCAAUACACGAGUAUGCAAGAAUCAUCUAACAAGAACUUAACAUUGAUGGAGUGUUUUAAGAACUUAACAAUGUAUCUUAGUCACUUCAUCGACCAUUGUAGGGUAAAAUUAUGUUUUCAUUAAUGAUUUCGUGAGCAGGUACCACAUAUUGAUAGAGGAAGUGAAAAGCGAUUGGAAAUGUCAUUAUGGGCAGAGGAGACCUUAAUUGGUUGACAACAAUCACAAAGAAGAUCAUGAACUUGAUUUUAUAUUUUGAUCUUGAUUCGUGGACUCGACAAAAUAUUAAAUUUCAUUUUCUUGGAAAGAAGAUGAUGUCGUGUGGUACAUAACGUAAAUUUUGGAUCCAAGGUUGAAGAACCACAAGUGGGUGUCUAACAUUGUGCUACAACAAAGUAGGUACUUGGCUGAUUUGUCACGCUUGAACUGUCAAGUGAUCUUCAUGAAGACGCCCAACUUGAUAAACAGUUUGAAAUGAAAAAAACUUCUUGAAGGAUAUAGAACAACCAGUAAAAUAGAAUCAGGUGAGUUGUGUGGUGAAAUGUAACUUCCUCAAGUAGGUGCCCAGCUUGAGCUGCGCAUGCCUCUAAUGUCCGUUGGAUGAGACAAAAGGCCACCAUAAAUCCAAAGAGUUGACCGUUUAGAGGAGUUGAAUUCUAUGAUGAAACCUCAUAUGAGUUAUAUUUAACAUUGUGCUCGUGCAUAGGUUCCCAAAACAAAGUCCUCUGAAUUUUAUCAACUAUAAUUCUUGCCCUCAAAGAUCUGUCCUUCAUAAUUGCCAAGCGGUGUGAGAUAGCAUGGCUCCAUUUGUUAACACGCGUAGAUAUACAUACAUUUGUGCCUUAUUGAAUGAUUCACAUCCUGUAUAUUAAUGUAUCAGUAUACUGUUAAAGAUGAUCAUCUAGUACUAGGGAAUCAUUUGCCUUGGAUGUUCUGCCAUCCGAUUUACAUAAUAGCAGAGCCCUUUGGAAGGUGCUCUCUUUCUUAGCACUUGCUGAGUGUUCCGAACCAUCUGUUGCUCCUCGACAAGGGAGAGGAUUCCCAGGAGCACUGCAGAUUGUCACCAUCUCCAAUAAUAACCUUUGUAUGUAGUGUUGCAAAUGCAGAGAAAAGAAUAUUUGAACCCUGUCAUCUUUCUUGUCUUGCCAGCUUUUAAAUUUACAGGUAAUCCGAUCUUCAAAUAAGUACAUUAGUAUUACUUCAUAAAAAUAAGCAGUUAUUUUGGGUGAUUAGGUGUUGGAACAGACCGAAUUUUGCCACUUUGAUAUCCUAUUAGCCUGUUGGAGUAUUAUCUUUCUUGUACUUUCUUCAAGAUUACUGAGACAAUAGCUAUGCAUUGGUAAACACUAAAGGGUAUUAAAGUUUUAGAGUGAAAUAUUGUUUUGAGUUUGCCGGAACUUCCGCUGCUAAUUUUCUUCCGGGUGUAAAAGAAAUGACUUCACUACUAAAACCGUUUUAGACCAACAAAAUAUGUGUGAGAUGUUAAUAAUUCGCAUUUGAAUAGUCCCAAAUAAGAUAAUUACUAUGAAAAGGUUGAUAUACACUAGUGGGGCCAAACGUAAUAUACUUAAGCUUUUAGGUUAAAUGGUUCAAUUAGAUAUGCCAACUCCCUAACAACUUGUAUCAGAGCCGAUGGUUUAACAUUCAUGAGUUACUCCUCUGAGUGGUAUGGUGUGAUCAAGUUAAUUACCCUUACGAACAUGACGGGUUCACAAAGGGGAGUCAUCAUAAUGCGAUAUGAUGGUUUGGUGUACUUGAAAUAAGUGGAUGGUUAUUGCAUUCUAAAAAGACGGGCCUAAGGUGACUUAUAAAGGGAUUAAGACAUGUCUUGGAGAAGAGCCGAAAAGUGACUCUUGAAGGACAUGUUUUGGAGAAGAGCCAAAAGGUGACUCGGUGCAGUGCUCAGAGAGUAAGGGGGAGGUGGUUGGUUCACAUGUGAAAGAAGGAGAAUGUUAAGAGUUCACAUGUGAAUAGUUCUACAUCUGAUAGUUACUAAGAAAGUAAAGAGUUGAUAUAUACUAGUGGGCCUGGACCUAAUAUGGUUAAGUUUUUCGGUUGAGUGGAUUCCAUUAGAUAUGCCACAUUCUUGGGCUCACGUGAGCCUGGGCUGGGCCUAGAACUUCCAAAAUAUGAGUAAAAUCUCUGAAUUCUAAUUCCCUUUUUACAAUCAGUGCACUACCUUUCAAUCUUUAGAAUUUUAUUGCUCAACUAUGUUUUCUCUAUUUUCGGUUGCCAUUGUGUUCAAUAAUUUGAUCUGUUAGAACAUUAGUACUAUGUGCCAAUUGCGAUUAAUAUAUUUUACAAAAUUUUAGAUAUGAAGUUAAAACCGAACUUUACAGAUAAGCACUAGAAAAAGGGAAAAGAAAAUUUCAAGUUUCCCUCCUCCAACAUCUCUAACACAAUCAUCUAAAUGAAUUUUCACGCCGUUCUUUUUCUUUGAUACUCGGGAAAUUGCAUUAUUUUGUAGAAGCUUUUAUGAUACGUUUAGGUCUACAUUAUUCUCACAACUUGAUAGCCGCCUAUUAUACCACUUUACUGGUUACUUGGUAUUAAAUUGUUCUCUUAAUUGAUCUCUUUUCUCAUUUUAGUAGUAAGAAGAGUGAAAAGAAAGAAUGGAGUAUUUAUGGAUCAUGAGAGUUGCCUUUUCUCCAAAGUCGUAAAAUAUCUCUCUUUUUUUUUUUUUUUUCUACCAUUUUCCAACUAAUUAACAUAGCCUAAAUUACAAACAGCUAGGAAUGGCAAGUGGAUUGGAGACUCUAUGUGGGCAAGCAUAUGGGGCGCAACAAUAUCGCAUUCUGGGAAUCCACACCUACAGGGCUAUAGUAACUCUCCUAGCAGUGAGCCUCCCCAUCUCUGUUUUAUGGGUCUCAAUGGGCAAAAUCCUCUCCUUCAUUGGCCAAGAUCCCAUGAUCUCACUCGAGGCGGGAAAGUACGCAAUCUGGAUGAUCCCCGGCUUAUUCGCCUAUGCGACUGUUCAACCCCUCAUGAAGUUUCUUCAGUCUCAGAGCCUGAUCAUUCCUAUGCUGCUAAGCUCGAUUGCGACACUAUGCUUUCACGUUCCUCUGUGUUGGGUUUUGGUAUUCAAGACACGAUUGGGCAACGUUGGCGCUGCUCUUUCUAUAAGCAUUUCAUACUGGUUGAAUGUCCUGCUGCUCGGAAUUUAUAUCAAUUUCUCGAAUUCUUGUAAGGCGACUCGAAUGCCUUUCUCAAUGGAGGCCUUCACAGGGAUCAGUGAGUUCCUGCGUUUUGCCCUACCAUCGGCAAUAAUGAUAUGGUAAGUUGUAUUUGUGUAAUUCAUAGUAGUUUUGUCCAUGAACGCUAUAUAAUUAAUUUGUACUUUUCCUCCUAUGCUUUUGUGUAAUUUGACUUUUGAUGACAUUGAGCACAGUCUUGAAUGGUGGUCCUUUGAGCUGCUUAUCCUGCUGUCUGGGCUCCUGCCUAAUCCAGAGCUUGAAACCUCGGUGCUUUCAAUUUGGUACAACAAAAACCAAACUUAUAUAAAUCACAUUUGUUUAUUACAUUUUAUUGCUUUUAAUUUCUUUUUAUCUUCCUGAGCAGCCUAACUAGCAUCACAUUGCUAUAUACUAUACCAUAUGGUCUUGGUGCUGCCACAAGGUACGAGCUAAAUCCAAAUCCUCAAGAAGUAAUUUUAUUAUACAUAUUCAUUCAUUGUCAAGAUACCAUCUGUAUGAGUGUUAUUUCCUAAUGAUUAGUACACGAGUAUCAAACGAAUUAGGUGCGGGGAACCCUGAAGGAGCUCGGUCGGCAGUCCGCGUCGUGAUGUUUCUCGCCGUUAUGGAGGCUGCUAUCGUGAGCAGCACGCUUUUGGCCUCGCGUAAAAUCCUGGGUUAUGCCUACAGCAAUGAGGAGGAGGUGAUAGCUUAUGUGACAAAGAUGGUUCCCCUAGUGUGCAUCUCUGUGAUCACUGAUAGUCUGCAAGGGGUCCUGUCAGGUUUUCUAUUAAUUACUAUCCUUCCCUCUCUAGUGUUUUUGUUGAAAUGGUUCACCUACUCAAAUUGCAAACCCAUUACUUGCUCUUUGGCCCAUUUCUCAAUUGCCCUCAAUGCAUAAAAGAAUUGCAUCAGUUCCCAUUGAAAUUAUUAGACUGAAAAAGGGAGUAUUUUUAAUUAGCAAAAGUAAAGAAAUGAGCAUGUACUUAGAAAUUUUCGUAAGAAACAAAAUGCCAAUAAGAGAAAAUUGAGAUAGGUAGCCUGGCUUAGAUUAGAGGUUUAUUAGAUGCUGCCCCAAGAGCAGUUUGCCCCUCUCAUGUACGUGGGUGUGGUAAGAGUACUUUAAGUUACACCUUACCAUCGGCUCGAUCUGGUGUCUCCUUUGACGGGCACAAACUACUGCAUAUAAAAUAUCGUUUCCUCUAGUUACUAGAAACAUGAAACCUAGAAGAGAAAAAGAACAGGACAAAGAGAGGUGGAACUUUUAACUUUGCUCUCAAUAUACAAAACUGUCACUGUGGCUUCAUAUGUAUUGUGGAGUGAUCAGUUGAACUAAACGGUCCUUAACUAAACCUAGCUGCCCUAUGCCAUAGCUAAGUGAUAUGUCGAAACACAGCGCAGAAAUUUGCUGUGACCAUUUCCAUGUAGCAACAUCAUCAUGUGAAGUGAAGAAAAAAAGGCCAUCUAUACACGCAACGAUUUCAACCUUACAUAUUUACCACUAUGUUAAACCACUAUCUUAAAUAGGCCCCAAAAACUAUGAGAUGAAAGAAUUUCACAGAAAUUGUUUGUAAUAUGAAGUUAGUUUUAUAUCUAUACUUCUAAUUAAGUUGCAACUUGUAUAAUGGACCUAGAACUAAAAAAAUUGGAUUUCAUUUACCAGAGCAACAAAAUUGGCAGUUUGGAAGACUUGUUCAGUUUGUAUCAUUAUACUCUAUUAAAUAUAACCCGUUGUUGUUUGCCACUAGUUUUUAUAUAGUUUUGUUUCCGAAUUCAACAAUCAUCUUAAAAUUUUGAGCCUAGUUAUUAAUGCUAAAAUGAGAUGCGAUCUUUCAUGCAGGGGUGAGCAUGGGCUAAAGGGAAAGAUUUUUUUUUUUUUUUUUUUUUUUAUGUAUAUGCAAAAUAUUUUUAGCUGACGAGUUGCUUAAUCCUUUUGCUUUUGUGUAUAUUAUUCAGUUCUUUUUUUUUUUUUUGCUGUCUAAAAUAUUUUUUAGCUGACGAGUUGCUUAAUCCUUUUGCUUUUGUGUAUACUAUUCAGUUCUUUUUUUUUUGCUGUCCUUUCUUAGAUUCAAGAACUUGUUGAGGCAAUUGUGUUACCAAUGACACACAAGGACCGGUUUCAGAGAUUAGGAAUUCGUCCACCUAAAGGAAUGCUUUUGUAUGGACCUCCUGGAACGGGAAAAACUUUGAUGGCCCGUGCAUGUACAGCGCAGACAAAUGCAAAUUUUUUGAAGCUAGCUGGUCCUCAACUUGUUCAGGUGAUUAUACAAACUUCUGCAAUCCUUUUACUCUUGUCCUGUUUCUUUGAUUCCCCUAGUAAGCUAUGUUGCACAAACACGGAUAUAGGGAUACAGAUAUGACACUAUAUGGAUAUGAUGAUACGACAAUUCCUAAAACGUCGAGAAUAUAAUACGCGGGGUAUAUUUGAAUAAAAUAUUAUUUUAUCUAUAUUUAAAUAUAGAAUUGGGCUGGAAUACUAUUAAUAGUAUUUGGACAUUUUUGCUAUCAAGUUUUUAACCCUUGGAUGAAAAAUUGUAGAGUUAAGAUGAUAAUAAUUCCCUAGUAUUUAGUGGUGGUCCCCCUAGAGUUGAGUGGGUGGCUGGUUGAAUUGUAUAAUCUAAAUGGUGGAAUUGGUUAAAGUGUAGAUCUAACGGCUAAAAAAUCGAUAGCAAAAGAGUCCAAAUACUAUUAAUAGUAUACCGGCUCAAUUCAUUUAUGUUGAUUAUAUGUAAUUAUAUAUUGAGAACAAUCAGGAUAUCUGGAUUAUAUUAAAGAACAUCUUCUGAUAUAUAUUAACUUGUAUAAUUGUUUUACAUCUGCUAAAAAAAAAGAAUAAUCAAUCAUAUGAAAUAAUAAUUCAAAAAGUUACGGCAUGAAAUUUGAAGCAUUCGUGGUUCAUAGCUAAUAAAAAUUAACUCUAAACCUUUCUUGUGGGCCAAAAUAAUGUGGGUACUCAUGUGCUUAAUUGGCUAUAUAUUAUCACUUUCAGUUUCUUUACUUUUCUUUUUCACUACCUUGUGUUCCGUCUCUUUUUUGAAUGUAAUAUUGUAAAAAUGACUGAGCAAAGAAAUUCUUGUUUGCUUUGCAUUUGCAAAGUUUUUUUUUUUUUUUUUUUUUUUUUUUUUUUUUUUUUUUUUUUUNGCAUGGGCUAAAGGGAAUGAUUUUUUUUUUUUUUUUUUUUUUUAAUGUAUAACAAUUCAGCCUGUAUAUUGUCGGAAGUUUUUGGUGCUCCCAAUUGUUUAGCAAGAUGUGAUACCCUUUGUUUCCUUUAAUUAACAGGUAUUGCAAGAGGAUGUGGGUGGCAACACUUGGGUGCCUAUGUUAAUUUGGGAUCUUUCUAUCUAGUUGGGAUCCCGCUGGCUGUAACUUUAGGAUUUCUGCUGCAUAUGGGUGGAAGAGGCCUUUGGAUUGGUAUAGUGUGUGGUUCCACAACGCAGUCUGUUCUUCUCUCGCUGAUAACAUGGUUCACUAACUGGCAACAAAUGGUUUGUUCCUUUCCCUCUUACAGAUACAAAGAUUAGUUUCCAAUGCUCAUAUUGUAUAAAGACAUGGUGUUUGCAUAGGUUUAUUAUCUACUAUUUGAGUAGUUGAGUGUUAAAUUAAACUAUGGACACUAAACUACUGGUCGAGUUUCACUUUGGUCUCAAAAUCAGGAAGCUUGAAUGUUCUAAACUUAGUCCUACUGUCAGCUUAUAUCACCCAGAAAGGUCGAAAUCUAGCAUAGCAUACCAAGUCAAUAUUUCUAAGACACUUAGUUAUGUGUGCAUAAAACUGAUCAUAAUUAACAGGUUUAGGAAUAAUGACUUGGCAUGCUACAUUAGAUAUGUCUCUAGAUGAUGAAAGCUGACAACAUGACUAAGAGUGGAAUGUGUUUGAAGUUUGAGCUCCCUAAUGCAACAUCGAAGUCCAAUGACCUAAAUGACGCUCAAGCAGUAGGUUGGGAAUACUAGAGUAAUCUAACCAGCAUUUGGGACUAUAUAACCUCAUUGGGAUUGUAAAAUCUUGCAGGCGAAUAUCGCGAGAGAGCGAAUUUUGAACGAAAAGGUACCACCGGAAAGCACAUUGAUCUAGCUGACCUUGUUGAUAAAUUCUGUAUCUCACUUUGCCUCACCAUAUUACUAGUAAUUAUCUUGUCUAUCUUGCUGAAAAAUAAAAAUAAAAAAACAACGGAUUACUUCAUUCGGCUGAGAAACAGAACCUUGCAUAGAAAAUUCUACGCCGUUGGACUUUUGUAGCUAAUUGCUGUUUCUAUUGAGGUUUUCUUACUAAUUAGUUUUGUUGAGUAAUUAAGUAUGCUAAUACGCAUUAAGACUAAUUUUGAACCGUUUUCAAUCCAUUUUUGAUUAGAUCAAUCUUUUGUCUAAUAUGAUUCAGUCUGAAGCCUUCUCUAUUGCAAGAUUCUGAGUCCGAUAUCCAUAUAUGCCAUUUGAUGGCUACUGUUCCAGGGGUGGAAACGAGCCGAGCUCGAGCGAGCUUACCUCGGCUCAAAUUCGGCUUGAAAUUAAUUUCGAGCUUAAAUUUAAGCUCAAGCUUGGAUUGAAAUUAAUUCGAGCCGAGCUCGAGCGAGCCUAAUUUCGAGUCGAGCGAGCUCGAGCCCUAAACGAGCCGCUUGAAAUUCUCAACAUCAUACGAUCAAUAGUUUAAUUUGUAUAGAACAUUAUCUGUAAUUUGAUAUAAAAAUAUAUCUAAUAGCUCAAAGUACAAAAUGUUAUAUAAAAUAUAGUAUUAUAAUAUGAAAAAAAUAAUUUAUGAGUUGAAUAUCUAAUCUUUUCAGCCUCACAUGUCUUUUUUUCCGUCUUCAAUCUCCAUAUUAUUCAUUUUUAUUUAUGCAGUCAAAAAUAAAUAAAUUAUAUAGAUAAAUAUUUGAUUAAACUAUCCAAUCAUAUAUAACUAAAAUUAAAAUUUUAUAUGAAUAAUAAUUUUUUACUUUAAAAAUAUUCUGUAUAUUUUCUCAAGCAUACAAUUAAUAGCAAGGUAGGCAACAGCAAGCAUAUGCUAUUACUUGGUAACUUGGAGGGCUUUCGGCUUGGCCGCUUAGGAUGAGAGACAGAAAAAGAGAAAGAGAGAAACAUAUUGAAAAUUUAGAGUUCUGUGAAAGAAAGAAAGAAAUGAAAAAUGUAUAAAUUUAGUAAAAUUUUGCUCUUUUAUUUGUCUAUUGGGUUUGUUUUUAUGGGCCAACAACAUUAGCCCAAUUUUAACUAAACUCAGAUUAUUCACUCAGCCUAUCUAUAAUUAAAAUAUAUUAUAUUUAUAUAUUUUUAUAUAUAUAUAUAUAUAGUGUAGAACUACUAUGCUAUCGAAAAAAUAGAGGAUUUGAUGCUUUCGAAUUUUUGACCCUUUGAUUAAGAAUUGUAUGGUUGGGAUGAUUGCGGUCCCCCUUAGGAUUAAAUAAUAUUCCUAGGAUUGAGUGGUCCCUACAAGAUAAUAAUAGUAUUAAUUCAGAGAAAUGAUUAAAGGGGUUGAUCUAGGAAUCGAAAAAUCGAAAGCACCAUAUCUUCUAUACUUUCGAUAGCAUAGUAGCUCUACCAUAUAUAUAUAUAUAUAUAUAUAUAUAUAUAUAUAUAUAUAUAUAUAUAUAGAGAGAGAGAGAGAGAGAGAUAUAUAUAUAUGGAGCUUUGCUAGAAUACUAUCGGUAGUAAACCAAGCGGUUUACUACCGAUUUGUUUUCGAUGAUAGAAUUUCUAAAUCGACAAUCGGCACCAUUGAACAUGAUCUAGACCAUUUAAAUUAUCUAGAAAUCAAAUUUCAUGAUUUUUUGGCAUCACUAACUAAACGAUCAAAGGAUCAGAAAAUCUAUAAUUUUAAUGGCCGAUAUGGUGCGUUUGCUCGUUUAACGGUAUAGAAGAGCUCAAAUCAACUAAAUUUUUGUUAGAAAAUUUUUUAAACUAUUUAAAAUAAGAUCUAGACUCUAGAUCUCAAAUAUAAAAAUUGCAUCAUCACUUUUUAAAGGAUAUUCAUUUCCAGCCAUUCAUUUUUCUGUUCACUUGAUGGACAAGAGAACAAUAUCGAAAAUGUGUGAAAUUUGAUUUUCAGAUAGUUUAAAUAGUUUAGAUCAUGUUUAAUGGUGCCGAUCAUCAAUUUGGAAGCGCUAUCAUCGAAAACAAAUCGGUAGUAAACCGCCCGGUUUACUACGGAUAGUAUUCUAGCAAAGCUCUCUCUCUCUCUCUCUCUCUCUCUCUCUCUCUCUCUAUAUAUAUAUAUAUAUAUAUAUAUAGAGAGAGAGUCCAGCUAUGGUGCUUGUAAAAGUACCAAGCAUUUGGUGCUUGUAAGUUUUUUACUGUUAGAUCUACUCCUCGAAUCAUUUUCAACAAUUAGAUUAUACUAUUCAACCAACCACCCACUCAACCCUAGGGGGUCCAUAUCAUCCUAACCACAUAUCUCUUAAUCCAAUGGCUAAAAAUCUACAAGCACUAAUAACUUGCUACUUUUAAAAGUAUAGGAGCUCAAUUAUAUAUAUAUAUAUAUAUAUAUAUAUAUAUAGAGCUAGGCUGGUAUACUAUCAGUAGCACGGAGGCCUCCGUGCUACCAAGUUGUUUUCAAUGAUGCGGCUUAUAAAUCAACGAUCGGCUCCGUUAGACUUGAUCUACACUAUUGAAAGUAUUUGGAAACUAAAUUUCAUAAUUUUUCGGCAUCAUUUACCAAUCAAACGAGUAGUCUAAAAAUGAACGGCUGAAAAUGAAAAUCUCAUAAAAAAUAGUGAUAAAGAAUUCAAAUUUCAAAUCGGAAGUAUUGGUCUUGCUAUUGAUGUUAAGUAGAAUUUUCUAUUAAAUUUUCAUCUAAUUUGGAUACUUCUACACCGUUGAACUUAAAAACGCAUCAUAUCUACCAUUAAAAUUGUUAAUUUUGGAACCUUUUGAUCACUAGCCAAAUGAUGUCGAAAAAUUAUAAAAUUUAAUUUCCAAAUGCUUUUAAUAGUGUAGAUCAAGUCUAACGGAGCUGAUCGUCGAUUUGAAAGCAGCAUCAUUGAAAACAACUUGGUAGCACUGAGGCCUCCGUGCUACCGAUAGUAUACCAGCCUAGCUCUAUAUAUAUAUAUAUAUAUAUAUAUAUAUAUAUAUAUAUAUAUAUAUAUUCGAGCUUUUUGAGUCUAAUUCGAACGAGCCAAGUAAUACUCAAGGUCGGCUUGAAAUGAAUUUCGAACCUUUUUUUUUGUUCAAGCUCGGCUUAUUUAAUUUCGAGUCGAGCUCGAGCGAGCCAAAUAUCGAGUCGAACGUGAGUCGAACGCUAGCUGGCUUGCUCAUUUGCCAGCCCUACUGUUCCUGUUCAUUCUUACGUAAUGUUCAGUUACCUGACUACUUUAGACUUCAUUGCCUCCAUUUUGGAUAGAUCAAAUGAGCUUGUCGCGCCUGAACAGCUCGUGCCAGCUUUAGCCCUUGAAAAUAAUGGCUGGCUCAGUUGGUUGGUUGAGAUUGAGCUUAAUUAGGAUGGCUUAAGUACGGAAAUUGAAACUAAAGAAAAUAGACAUACAUAUGUGGAAGAUAUAAUGAUUGUAGUGAUUUAUGUAUGGGUAUUCAUAUGUACUUUGAGGUGUUACAAUAAUGUAAUUCUAAAUGGUAAACUGCUGAGAGUACCAACAUUGAAGGUAAUUCUAAAGGUCUUGCCGCCUGGUGCACCAAGAAGAGAACAAAAAGCCUUGGCAUCAAGGCUGAUUUCGAGAAAGUUGUUUACCAAGUCAACUGGGUCUUGCUGGAGAAGAUUACACUUUGGAUAGAAUUUGUUGAAAAAUAGUGGCAGUGGAUUGAGCAAUGCAUCUCCAACGUCCAAGUCUCCAUUUUGCUCAACAGGAUGCCGACAAUGUUUGAUCAAAUGAAAUAGAGGGUUGAGACUAGGAGGGUUGCCGGAAGCCUCUCUAGCUUGACAACACGAUAGUCAAACUACCCUCGUACAACCUCCCAAAAGGACUUGGUUUGCCCCAAGAUAGUGGAAUUAUGCUUAUACAAUAUGCCGAUGAUACGAUAUUUUUCGAAGAAGUCAAGAAAUGAUACUUAUGAAACCUAUCAUUCAUCCGGAACAUCUUUGAAUGGGCUUUUGGUAUGAAGAUCAAUAGCGAGCAGUUUGAGGUAUUCUACCUGGGAAGAAGAUAAUACAGGGAUGAAAAACUGGCCUUAAUCCUGUCAUGCAAAGUUGGACAACCAUCCGGCAAGACAACUUCUUCUUCUCAAGGGGGCAAGCUGACCAUCAUCAAUUUAGUCCUCUCAAACUUCUUCUCCACUUUUAAAGCACUAAAAUCGAUCCUUCAUUGUCUUGAGAUGCUCAAACUAUCUUUCUUCUAGAAUUAAAAAAGGCUCCAAAGCCAAAGACAGUGCAUGUCAUGUCAGCUGGAAAAAUGUUGGUAAACACAAAAGGAAGGUUGGAUUGGAAUGAAGGAUUUGAAACUAAUGAAUCUAGCUCUCCUUACAAAAUGCUGACGGUGAUUCUUUAAUGAACCAGAUUUUUCAUGAAAGAAAAUCAUUAAAUCACUCUACUAUAGCAUAUAAAAGCUACGAAAAGAAGGGGCGUCUUUUAAACAGUAUUCUCAAUGGUGGAGGUAUAUUCUUGUUGGGGCUUAGGAUCAUUCUGUAUGUGCUAUAAACAAAAAUACAUGAACAAAAAAAUAGCAAAAAAUAAUAGAAAAGAAAUACACAGAAAAAGAAACAGCGAUUUAUGUGGUUCGGUAAGUGGCCUACGUCCACGGGAAAAGCGAGAGACAUGUAUCCUUUAUACGAAGGAAACAAAAAUACAAGCCCACACCUUUAUGUUUCUUUCAAUCUAAUACAAGAGCCUUAUGGUUAUUACCACCCUUCUCUUGUUACAAAAAAAAAAAGAAGAGAGAAACUCAACAAGCUAUUAAUUAAGUUUUCAAAGUUCUCCUAAUACCUCACUUAAUUUACUCGUUGCUUGUUGCUUGUGCUUCUUGUGCUUUUAUCUGUGAAGUUGGAAGCCUUAUAUAGCCAUGCAUGCAGUUGCACAAUUGAUGUUAGCAACUUCAAUUGUCAAUUUUUCUUAAUCAGCCUAUAUAUAGGCUUUUUGACAAUCAUGGCAGCAUGUCUUUCAUGCAUGCAUGCAUAAAAUACAAGCAUACUUUACCGUCCAAUGAAAGCCAUUCUAUUCAUACCUUAAAUAGUUUGGUAGACCUAGUGUGCCAUGAAUCAACUUUCAUAUUUAUGUCUCUUUUGCCUAUUAGUCCGAAAACCUUAUGGGUCAAACAAAUAUUUUUAUGCCCUAUACAAAAGAAGACAUAUAACCAACAAUCUCCACCUUGUCUUCAUUUGUUCUUAAUUCAGUCUCUCUCAUCUUAAUGCUCUCUCUCCCUAGAGCUUCCAGCCAUCAGCAAUCCUACAAAUUUGCCAAGUUUAGGCGAUGCCUUGUUACCGGCUUUGUCAUGAUGUCACAAUCAAUAGUAGCGUAAUAUUUUGAGAGCCAAUCCAUUCCAAGCAUUAAGUCGAAACCCUUCAUACGGCUCAACACUAGCAAAUCCGUCGGCAUAAUCCAAUCACCAACCUGCACUAGACAAGCCGCACACUCCUCCUCGACACUAAAAGUGUGCUCAGGAGUAUAAACCCACCAAGCGUCCGCACUAUCCGAAAUCUCAAUGUCAUGACUUUUAGCAAACGACCUACUAAUGAAUGAGUUUGAUGCACCUGUAUCGAAUAAUGCUCGAGAUCUAGUGCCUUUAAUUAAAAAAAUACCUGCCACGACAUCGUCGACCACGGCAGGUUCCUCCACCUGAGGAGCAAAAACAUGACCACUCAGUACAGAUCAGGUUCCCUCAGACUGACGCGGCAUAGAUGAACGUUUAGCAGACUUGGCGGGUGGAAGACCCGCAAGCUGUCUCAGGGUCGACUGAACUGAUGCGGCUGAUGGGGCAGGCGAUACUCCACUCGGGCACUCUCGACUCAGGUGCCAGGCUGACCACACCUAUAGUACCUCCCCUUACACUGUGAACAGCUCGAUGGUCGAUGAUCCCUGCCACAAAUAACAUAUCUGAAAGGUUCCCGAUACCUCGACUGUGAUCGUGGAUACCGAAGGGGCCGCUUAGAACUCAACUGUCCCCCGGAACCACUUGCGGUUCGCUUCUUUCCUUUAUCCCUGUCCUUUUCCUUCUUAAACGAUUCACGUUCAUCACGCGCAAUCGCAUUACCUCGCUCCACCCAAAGAGCACGAUCCAAUACUUUCUCAAAAGUCUUCAACUUGAAGGCAUGUAUCACUUUGAAUAUCUCGGGUCGCAACCCUCGCUCAAAACAUUUUGCCUGAUCUCACGUGAAUCAUACCUGGAACACAGUUCACCAAAUGCAAGAACUCCCGUUCAUACUCUCGUACAGAACGAUUUCCUUGUCUCAAUUUACGAAAGUCCUCUUUCAUUUUUUUUUAUUGCUAUCCGGAAAAUACUCCAUAAAUAGUAAGUCGCGAAACUCAUCCCAAGAAAUCGGA